CCAUUAUAUUACAAUCAAGUUGUAGCAACAAGAAUGACAGACUUGAAACAUUUUAUUUUCUCUCAUCUUUUCAAUCGAUAUCUUAACAUGGUAUUAGAGUCAGGUUCAAUUUUUUCUUGGUUCCCUGUUUUUUUUCUUCAUAAUCUUCUUCAAUGGCAGUCCAUCAAUCUUCUUCUCUUGUCAUUGACUUUCAUCACCCUCUUUAUCUUCAUCCCUCUGAUACCCCUAGCACUCUACGGGUCUCUCAUCAGCUUCUUGGCUUUGAGAAUUAUAAUAUAUGGAGUCGAUCAAUGGAAAUUGCUCUUCUUGCCAAAAACAAACUUGGAUUUGUUGAUGGUACUUGUUCACAAGCUAAUCUUCCAGCUGAUCUUCAUCCUCAAUGGGACUAUUGCAAUGCUAUUAUCCUCUAUUGGAUCCUCAACACCGUUUGCCAAGAACUUUCAGCUGGUAUUAUUUUUGCUUCGAGUGCCUGUCUUGUUUGGAAGGAUCUUUAAGAAUGCUACAGCAAAGUUGAUGGGUCCAGAAUUUAUUAUCUCCAUCACACUAUUUCUUCUCACACUCAAGGCUUCAUCUGCUCCUACUUUAACAUCGGAACAGUACCAGCAACUUCUAACUAUUUUGUAGAAAGAUUCAUCUAUUUCUACUAUUGCUCACAUGGCUGGACCUUUGCAAUGGACGGAUGCUGCGGAUUGGUAAGAACAUGUUGGUCGUACUACUUUCACCCACAUCAGCUCUCUUCUAGUCUUAUUCAUCCUCACAAAUUUAUCAAUAUUUCUUUUCCCAUUAUUACUUCUUUUAUGGCUUUACAUAAUGAUCCACAUGUAUAGCAUGCUCGCCUUGGUUACACCUCUAUUUCUACAAUGAAAAAAAUUGCUCAAUUAAAAUA